GCACGCCGUGUCGUCUAUCUGACCAUGCC
rnacentral:sRNA from 1 species